AGAGUUUGAUCCUGGCUCAGGAUGAACGCUAGCUACAGGCUUAACACAUGCAAGUCGAGGGGCAGCAUCAUCAAAGCUUGCUUUGAUGGAUGGCGACCGGCGCACGGGUGAGUAACACGUAUCCAACCUGCCGACAACACUGGGAUAGCCUUUCGAAAGAAAGAUUAAUACCGGAUGGCAUAGUCUUCCCGCAUGGGAUGAUUAUUAAAGAAUUUCGGUUGUCGAUGGGGAUGCGUUCCAUUAGGCAGUUGGCGGGGUAACGGCCCACCAAACCUACGAUGGAUAGGGGUUCUGAGAGGAAGGUCCCCCACAUUGGAACUGAGACACGGUCCAAACUCCUACGGGAGGCAGCAGUGAGGAAUAUUGGUCAAUGGACGAGAGUCUGAACCAGCCAAGUAGCGUGAAGGAUGACUGCCCUAUGGGUUGUAAACUUCUUUUAUACGGGAAUAAAGUGAGCCACGUGUGGCUUUUUGUAUGUACCGUAUGAAUAAGGAUCGGCUAACUCCGUGCCAGCAGCCGCGGUAAUACGGAGGAUCCGAGCGUUAUCCGGAUUUAUUGGGUUUAAAGGGAGCGUAGGCGGGUUGUUAAGUCAGUUGUGAAAGUUUGCGGCUCAACCGUAAAAUUGCAGUUGAUACUGGCGACCUUGAGUGCAACAGAGGUAGGCGGAAUUCGUGGUGUAGCGGUGAAAUGCUUAGAUAUCACGAAGAACUCCGAUUGCGAAGGCAGCUUACUGGAUUGUAACUGACGCUGAUGCUCGAAAGUGUGGGUAUCAAACAGGAUUAGAUACCCUGGUAGUCCACACAGUAACGAUGAUACUCGCUGUUGCGAUAUACAGUCAGCGGCCAAGCGAAAGCAUUAAGUAUUCCACCUGGGGGAGUACGCCGGCAACGGUGAACUCAAAGGAAUUGACGGGGGCCCGCAAAGCGGAGGAAAAAUGU
rnacentral:rRNA from 1 species